rnacentral:pre_miRNA from 1 species
CUUGUACUCCCUCCGUUCGGAAUUACUUGUCACAAAAAUGGAUGUAUCUACAACUAAAAUACAUCUAGAUACAUUCAUUUCUUAGACGAGUAAUUCCGAACGGAGGGAGUAUUUU